GUUCGAUAAAUGUCCCCCCGGUAGAACCUUCCCUCAGGGCCAUGGCCACUCCGGGUGUGGCCAAUAUCCUACCAGUUUGGUCCCAACCCCAUUGCCUUAAAUUAUUCUGGUUUUCGAGUGACCGAUCUAACAAUCUUCGUUAGAACAGAAUUCCUCCCAAGUUGGUGCACAACCUGUGUCUUUCAAUGUGUGCAUGUGUGUGUGAGCAAUAAAAUUACCACCGUCGAUCCGUCUCUGACGGAUUUUCGAAUAAAACUAAAAUUGUUCAGAGGCUAUCUGUUAGCUUAUAUAGUUAGCAUGAAAUGUGGCAUCUUUUGCUCACACAACUACCAAUAAGCGAUGUUACAAAUACUCGUUCACCGAUGACGUCAUCGAUGAUCAUCAGUAAACUAACACCACCAAAGCUCACCAAUACAUUGGCAUUAAUAUUGCCUUCACGUUUCACCUUAAAUUUCUUUGAGAAUGAACAGGAACGAUGGUUUCAGUACGCCACGAUCGAGGAUGUGAUCAAGGUACGGAUGGCGAUGGGUCCCGGUGAUAUCGCUGGGCCUUCCAACAACGCGACGGUCAACACGUCCGGCAUCGACAAGGCGAUGGCCAUGUACGCCGAGAUUCGACCAAAUCAGUACUGCAAGUUCCGGAUAAGGAAGAUAGCACGGAAAUUGAGAAUUGAAGCAGCGAAAUGAAUCACCGUUAGUUGUUGUUGUUCCGGAGUUCCUACUGCAGGUUCCAAUCUAGGCUAGCCGGAGCUAGCCAAAGUGGCUCGCUUUGGCUGCUGACGCUGAAUGGACUCAGUAUUGAUUAUGCUAAUCCGUCAAGUCAUUGCAAAAGAAAAAAUGCAUGCCGUCUUCAAGAUCUACAACCAUAGAGAGCGGGCAGAUUCUGGUCCCGGUGCAGAAUAAGGCUAUGCAGAUGUCCAAGAAAAGCAAGAUAACACGCACCACGCCGACAGAACACGGCCUGUUACACUCGUUCAUGCGGGGAUGCACGAGCCGGAGUAUAGCGAUGAGGCUCCAUACGAAUCGGUUAAGUAUGAGAAGAUUCAGGUCGAAGGCAUCUAAUCGGCGCCGUACGAGAACUGCUUUUACCGGGCUGUGGUGCUGGAAAAGACCGUCCCAUCGAAGAUCUCGCUCAAGGUUCGCCUGAUCGAUUAUGGCAACAAGUUGGUUAAUGCGUCAACGGAGUAGCGACCACCGCUGCAGUUGAUAAAAAUCUUAGAAGAAUCUGCGCGAGUUUCAGGUGAAGAUCGUCGAUUCGCCAUCCGCUCGAAGCUUGGCUCGAAGUCAACGAGCGUAUCCGGAUUCGGAUGAAGAACCCUGCGGGAUUGUUAACCAUGAGCUGGCGGAAAUCAUUCAGCCACCGGUGACGCCGAUCCUGCUGGACGUACAGAGUGAUGUGGCUGACAGGGUUCAUCUGCAACCGGCCGGACUACCCUAUGAAGAUCAAAUCCGCGACCUGGAUCCGACCGCCGUUGAAAAUCCCGGACUGAUCAUCGAGCAGCUGCAAGAGGUCUCCUGAAGCAACUAUUUGAGAGCAAGACAUAUUCGACGCUGUCAAGCUGAUCGACCUGAACAUGAAUCGCUCGCUGGGUGCCCUGCUGCUGGAGAACCACGACAAGAAGCCCAACGUGGCGGCCAGAGCGAAAGAAAGACGCUACACGGAAGAAGCUGAUGGCAAGGGAUCCGAAGUGUCGACCGGUGCCGCCAAGAAUGAAGUUUUAAACCGCCUCGAGGGAUAGUUUUCUAGAAACAACAAAUAAAAGUAAGGGGACUCGGGUUGG